rnacentral:rRNA from 1 species
CCUACGGGGGGCUGCAGGGGGGAAUAUUGGACAAUGGGGGCAACCCUGAUCCAGCCAUGCCGCGUGUGUGAAGAAGGCCCUCGGGUUGUAAAGCACUUUCAGUGAGGAAGAACGCCUGGUGGUUAAUACCCAUCAGGAAAGACAUCACUCACAGAAGAAGCACCGGCUAACUCCGUGCCAGCAGCCGCGGUAAUACGGAGGGUGCGAGCGUUAAUCGGAAUUACUGGGCGUAAAGCGCGCGUAGGUGGCUUGAUAAGCCGGUUGUGAAAGCCCCGGGCUCAACCUGGGAACGGCAUCCGGAACUGUCAAGCUAGAGUGCAGGAGAGGAAGGUAGAACUCCCGGUGUAGCGGUGAAAUGCGUAGAGAUCGGGAGGAAUACCAGUGGCGAAGGCGGCCUUCUGGACUGACACUGACACUGAGGUGCGAAAGCGUGGGUAGCAAACAGGAUUAGAUACCCCAGUAGUC